UUCAGGGAGACCUGCCCGCUCAAGUUACCGAGAACAAUGUAAAAGUUGGCAAGAGGUAAUGAGUUGGUCAUCCCAGGUCGGUCGUAGGAUAGUAAUAAGGCUUUCAAACUAUAGAAAGGUUCGUGAAAUGGGCUAUUAGCUCAGGUGGUUAGAGCGCACCCCUGAUAAGGGUGAGGUCCCUGGUUCGAGUCCAGGAUGGCCCACCUGAAAACAGUAAACAGUAAACAGUGGUCAGUAAAGAAAAAAACUGAUAGCUGGUAACUGAAAACUGAAUUAUGGGGGUUUAGCUCAGUUGGUAGAGCGCCUGCUUUGCAAGCAGGAUGUCAGGAGUUCGAGUCUCCUAACCUCCACCUUUAGAAGAAACAAAGGACAAAGUCUAGCACCUGAAAGCAAAAAAAUCAGACUGCUGGGUAUUGUUCCAGCCAGAACCUUGAAAACUGCAUAGAGAAGCGAAAGUAUGGUAGUCAGUAGUCAGUGAACAGUUACCAGGAAUCAAAGAUUGAUAGCUGGUAACAGAGAACUGAAGACUGAACAGACACGAAAGUGUAAAGAAGUG
rnacentral:tRNA from 1 species